rnacentral:rRNA from 1 species
GUCUUUUAGAUAAUAAUUUAAAGUCUGACCUGCCCUAUGAAGAAUUAAAUGGCCGCAGUAUUUUGACUGUGCAAAGGUAGCAUAAUAAUUAGUUUUUUAAUUGAAAGCUGGUAUGAAAGGUUCAACGAAAAAAUAUCUGUCUCAAUUUAAAUUUAAUUAGAAUUUUAUUUUUUAGUUAAAAAGCUAAAAUUUAUUUUAAAGACGAGAAGACCCUAUAGAGUUUUAUAUUUAAAAUUAUAAAUUUUUUAGAAUUUUUUUUAUUAUUAAAAAUAUUUUAUUGGGGUGAUAAAUAAAUUUAAUUAACUUUAUUGAUUUAAAACAUUAAUAUAUGAAUAAUUGAUCCAUAUAAAUGAUUAAAGAUUAAAUUACCUUAGGGAUAACAGCGUUAUUUUUUUUAAGAGUUCUUAUCAAAAAAAAAGAUUGCGACCUCGAUGUUGGAUUAAAAUUUAUUUAUGGUGUAGAAGCUAUAAAAUUAGGUCUGUUCGACCUUUAAAAUUUUACAUGAUCUGAGUUUAAACCGGUGUGAGCCAGGUUGGUUUCUAUCUUAAAAUUAAAAAAAUAUUUUAGUACGAAAGGACCAAAUAUUAAUAAAAUUUAUUUUAUUUUGAAUUA